rnacentral:rRNA from 1 species
GACGAACGCUGGCGGCGUGCUUAACACAUGCAAGUCGAACGGAAAGGCCCCUUUGGGGGUACUCGAGUGGCGAACGGGUGAGUAACACGUGAGUAACCUGCCCUUGACUUCGGGAUAACUUCAGGAAACUGGGGCUAAUACCGGAUAGGAAUCCUUGCUGCAUGGUGGGGGUUGGAAAGCUUCGGCGGUUUUGGAUGGACUCGCGGCUUAUCAGCUUGUUGGUGGGGUAGUGGCUUACCAAGGCUUUGACGGGUAGCCGGCCUGAGAGGGCGACCGGCCACAUUGGGACUGAGAUACGGCCCAGACUCCUACGGGAGGCAACAGUGGGGAAUAUUGCACAAUGGGCGGAAGCCUGAUGCAGCAACGCCGCGUGCGGGAUGACGGCCUUCGGGUUGGAAAACGCUUUCAGCAGGGGCGAAGCUUGUGGUGACGGUACCUGCAGAAGAAGCACCGGCUAACUACGUG